AGCAACUGCCUGGUCAAAUCCUUAAAGGAAAAGAGACACUCAGCAUUUAUUUUUUCUGCUCUUUCCACUGAUAGACUUCAGAUACAAUGCCAGGUGCUGAAGCUGCCAUCUUAUAUGACAAGAUGGAUGUGUAGAGAAGAGAGAGGAAGCAGACAAUCCAGGCUGAAGAACCAGGAAAGCCAGCGGUGCAAUUCAGAGUCCAAAAGCCCAAGGAACCAGGGCGGCCACUGAUAUAAGUUCCACAGACUGAAGUCCCAAGAAACCGGUCAGGAAAAUAUGGAUGUCUCAGCUUAGGAAGACAGGGGGAAUUGUCCUUGACUCCACCUUUGUGUUCUAUGUGGGCCCUCAAAGGAUUGGAUGAUGCUCAUGCACAUGAAUGAGGGCAGAUCCUCUUUACUCAGUACAUUGCUUCAAAAGCUAAUUUCUUCUGAAGAAACUCUCACAGAUACAUCCAGAAGUAAUGUUUUACCAGCUAUCUGGGAAUCCUUUAGCCCAAUCAAAUGAACAGAUAUAAUUAAUCAUCACACUACACCUUGAUAGCUAUACUGCCUCCUCAGCCUUCCUAUUCCUAACUCCUGGCAAGAAAUAGGCUGUUUGUUAUCUUAAAAGUUCAUGUCAUAUUUUACUCUGAUGUGAAUAACAGAAUAAUAAUUGUUCAAUGCCAAUUGUGUCUUAAGCAAUAGUUGUGUUUCAUAAAAUAUUAUAAGAGUUCCUUUUGGUAUAAUAUAGUUGAAAUACUUCUGUUUCGCUCUUUUCUCCUGGUCACUAUGUACAACAAACCGCCAUGAUACAUGAUUAGUUUUGUAACAAACCUUCACAUGUACCCCCAAACCUAAAAUAAAACUUAAUAAAAAUAAAAUAAUAAUAAUAAAGAUAUAUUUUUCAUAACUAGCAGAAACAAAAAUGUUUUAAAGUAUGUUAAGGGACCACAUACUUCAGCAUUUUAUUU
rnacentral:lncRNA from 10 species